rnacentral:rRNA from 1 species
GAUGAACGCUGGCGGCGUGCUUAACACAUGCAAGUCGAACGGGAAACAUUUUAUUGAAGCUUCGGCAGAUUUGGUUUGUUUCCAGUGGCGGACGGGUGAGUAACGCGUGGGUAACCUGCCUCACACUGGGGGAUAACAGUCAGAAAUGACUGCUAAUACCGCAUAAGCGCACGGGACCGCAUGGUUUUGUGUGAAAAACUCCGGUGGUGUGAGAUGGACCCGCGUUGGAUUAGCCAGUUGGCAGGGUAACGGCCUACCAAAGCGACGAUCCAUAGCCGGCCUGAGAGGGUGAACGGCCACAUUGGGACUGAGACACGGCCCAG